rnacentral:rRNA from 1 species
UACGUAGGUGGCAAGCGUUGUCCGGAAUUAUUGGGCGUAAAGCGCGCGCAGGUGGUUUCUUAAGUCUGAUGUGAAAGCCCACGGCUCAACCGUGGAGGGUCAUUGGGAACUGGGGAACUUGAGUGCAGGAGAGAAGAGUGGAAUUCCACGUGUAGCGGUGAAAUGCGUAGAGAUGUGGAGGAACACCAGUGGCGAAGGCGACUCUUUGGCCUGUAACUGACACUGAGGCGCGAAAGCGUGGGGAGCGAACAGG